rnacentral:tRNA from 1 species
GGGUAGGUUCCAGAGCGGCCAAAUGGAGCAGACUGUAAAUCUGCCGACAGCGUCUUCGGUGGUUCGAAUCCACCCCUGCCCACCA